UGCAGAAGAAGAAGAAGGUCGUGACGGAGAAGCAGAAGAAGAAGUAU
rnacentral:sRNA from 1 species